rnacentral:tRNA from 1 species
GCCAGUGUAGCAGAAUGGCAUAUGCAAACGGAUCUAACCCGUUGAUUUGUCGGUUCAAGUCCGACCUCUGGCACCA